CUUGGNUCAUUUAGAGGANGUAAAAGUCGUAACAAGGUUUCCGUAGGUGAACCUGCGGAAGGAUCAUUACCGAGUCGUCGACACGAGUUGUUGCUGGCCCCUCAAACGGGGGGCAUGUGCACGCUCUGUUAACACAUCCACUCACACCUGUGCACACUCCGUAGUUCUAUGGUCUGGGGGACAUGCCGUCUUCCUCCUGUAGUUCUGCGUCUUUACACAUACACUGUAGAAAAGUCUUAUGGAAUGCUUACCGCGUCUAACGCAAUACAAUACAACUUUCAGCAACGGAUCUCUUGGCUCUCGCAUCGAUGAAGAACGCAGCGAAAUGCGAUAAGUAAUGUGAAUUGCAGAAUUCAGUGAAUCAUCGAAUCUUUGAACGCACCUUGCGCCCCUUGGCUAUUCCGAGGGGCAUGCCUGUUUGAGUAUCAUGAACACCUCAACUCUUGUGGUUCGCCAUGAAGAGCUUGGACUUGGGGGCUUGCUGGCGCACAGCCGGCUCCUCUCAAAUGAAUUAGCCUGCCAGUGUUUGGUGGCGUCACCGGUGUGAUAACUAUUUACGCUUGUGGUUGCCUGCCAGGUAACCUUCGGUGACGGAGGUUCGCUGGAGCUUAUAAACGUCUUUCCUUGGUGAAGACAGCUUUUUGAACGUUCGAUCUCAAAUCAGGUAGGACUACCCGCUGAACUUAAGCAUAUCAAUAAGCGGAGGA
rnacentral:rRNA from 1 species